AAAAAGUUAAUUAAAGUCAUGGCUAAAAAAUGUAAACCAAUGAGAUGGUUAAUCCUGAUUGGUCGUUUAAAAACUUAUGUGGACGCUUUUAGAAGCGAAUAGCCUCAACUUUUAUAUAGUAUAGAUAAAUACCUUGCUUAUAUUCCUAUAUUCUUGAACAUAUUAAGAGUUUAUAAUACCUUGCUUUUAAUCUUGUGAGCUGAUUAAUUUAUGUGAUGAUUUUAACUAUAGUAUAUUUGAUAGUAUGAUAUUGAAAAAUUAAAUCCGCCAUCAUAGUCGUUCAAUGUUCGAGCAGAAGGCUGACCUAUUGACAAAGGCUCUCGGGCGAAUCAAGUUUAAAGAAAUGAGGGAGCUCAUUGGUGUGAAGGACAUGGGACAAGGUGACUUCAAGUUUAGGAGGGAGAAUGUUGGAUUAAGCUUGAAGAAAGCUGAUGAAGAAAGUAAUAUUAAACCGAGUUAUGGUUUAGUUCCUAACCGAGUUAUGGUUUAGAAAGUGAUCAUCUCAAAUCUCUUUAGGAGUUAUCUAAAUCUAUGUUUUCCUAUUAGGAUUAGGACUAAUGCUUUCAUAUAAAUAGAUGUGUCGAGUUCUAAUAUCAAUGUGAGAGUUGUAUUAAGAGAUUGAGAGAGAAAGCUUAAGUUUUGUGUAAGUUUCUUAAGCUAUAAAGUGAGUUAUACUUUUAUAUUCUUGAGUUCUUAAACAACAACCAAACCUAGAUUCUAUAAACUGAGAGUAAUCAGGCGUUGAAAAAAUAAAGACUACUGGAAUAAGAGCAAAGAUAUUCAAACAUCAAUGUGUGGUUUAAGUUUGAAAACUACCCUCUUUCUUUUCAUAGUAAAUUGAAAUUUCUAACCAAAACGAAAAAAAACACACACACAAAAAAAAAAUCAGAGCCAAGAGACUACCAAUAAUCAAUAUCCAACACAUUUCACAUCAACUCGUUCAUUCAAUCUUUUGAUAAAAUCCCUCCCAUGUUACCCAAAACACAAUUCAAAAGAUAUAAAUCACCAAAAA
rnacentral:sRNA from 1 species